CUAGGCGACGAUCCCUAGCUGGUCUGAGAGGAUGACCAGCCACACUGGAACUGAGACACGGUCCAGACUCCUACGGGAGGCAGCAGUGGGGAAUAUUGCACAAUGGGCGCAAGCCUGAUGCAGCCAUGCCGCGUGUGUGAAGAAGGCCCUUCGGGUUGUAAAGCACUUUCAGCGGGGAGGAAGGCCGGUGAGGGUUAAUAACCCUCAUCGAUUGACGUUACCCGCAGAAGAAGCACCGGGCUUAACUCCCGUGCCAGCAGCCCGCGGGUAAUACGGAAGGGUGCAAAGCGUUAAUCGGAAUUUACUGGGCGUAAAGCGCACGCAGGCGGUCUGGUCAAGUCGGAUAGUGAAAUCCCCCGGGCUCAACCUGGGAAACUGGCAUUCGAAACUGGGCAGGCUAGAGUGCUUGUAGAAGGGGGGUAGAAAUUCCAAGGUGUAGCGGGUGAAAUGCGUAGAGAUCUGGGAGGAAUACCGGUGGGCGGAAAGGCGGGCCCCCUUGGACAAAGACUGACGCUCAGGUUGCGAAAGCGUGGGGGAGCAAACAAGGAAUUAGAUAACCCCUGGUAGUUCCACGGCCGUUAAACGAUGUUCGAUUUGGAAGGGUUGGUGCCCUUUGAGGCGUGGGCUUUCCCGGAGCUAACGCGUUUUAAAUCGAACCGCCUGGGGGAGGUACGCCGCCAAGGUUAAAACUCAAAUGAAUUGACGGGGGCCCGCACAAGCGGUGGAGCAUGUGGUUUAAUUCGAUGCAACGCGAAGAACCUUACCUGGUCUUGACAUCCACAGAACUUUCCAGAGAUGGAUUGGUGCCUUCGGGAACUGUGAGACAGGUGCUGCAUGGCUGUCGUCAGCUCGUGUUGUGAAAUGUUGGGUUAAGUCCCGCAACGAGCGCAACCCUUAUCCUUUGUUGCCAGCGGUUCGGCCGGGAACUCAAAGGAGACUGCCAGUGAUAAACUGGAGGAAGGUGGGGAUGACGUCAAGUCAUCAUGGCCCUUACGACCAGGGCUACACA
rnacentral:rRNA from 1 species